rnacentral:lncRNA from 1 species
GACCUGACUGCUGAUGACACGGACACCUGGUGUGUGACUCCGGGUGUCAUGUGCAGGACCUGACUGCUGAUGACGUGGACUCCUGGUGUGUGACUCCGGGUGUUCACAUGCAGGAUCUGACUGCUGAUGACACGGACUCCCAGCCCGUCCACAGGAAGCACAAAAGGCAGCUGAGGACAUGCUAAGAUCCUUUGCUCCCAAAAAUUUGGCCUUCAAACUCCUCGCCACUCUGUGUCCACCAACUCCAAUCCAUAAUAUCCCAAUAUUUCCCAAACAGAUCAGUCCCCAGAAUUGGAAGACCCCUGGUGAGCUGGCUCUAAAGUUGCCGUAACUUCCCUGACGUAGCUCCAGCGCCUCCAGACCGGUCUCACACUUUACUGCCGUCACAGCGUGGUGAUGCCGUCGCAGCCUCGCCGUGGUCUGUGGUUUGUGUAGCGUGGUCUGCAUGAGCGUGUCUGCUCGGUGACAGAUCACUCCAAGUUGUUGCAAUCCAUUCUACUUUGGGAGUUACUAGUGUCAGACAUUCUUACACAUCGGGGACAUCGGGUGUGACAGCCUUCCACAGAGCAUUGGUAGCUUUGGAAAAGGCAGAUAUUAGUUCUUUUAAAAGUGGAAUAUUUUCAUCAUCAUCAAAAGUACAAAGAGUGAAUUCUCGCUCGCUUGUUUGUCAUCGAUGUGAACAGUUGCUCCAUGUUCAGCGUAGUAAGUAUGUAAUCAUUUUUCCAUUUGUUGUUGAUUUCAACUGUGGCCUUUUACAUCCGAAUUGUUUUGCCAGUUGUCAAUCUGUAAGCAAUAAAAACCCCCAAAUUUCAUUCCUUACAAUACAACCAUCAUGGCGUGGACAUUUGCACAGAGGCUGAGACAGUGCUUGGGACCCAUGCCUGGGGUCAGCGGGCCCUAUUCCAGCUUCCUGCUCUGUGCACUCCGGGAGCCAGAGGGGAGGGCUCAGAUAGCUGCAUGUCUUCCACCCACCUGGGAGACUUGGAUUUAGUUCUGGGCACUGGCUUCAGCUGGGCCCAGUCUAGGCUGUUGGGGGCAUUUGGGGAGUGACCCAGCGGAUGGGGAAAUCUCAAUCUCAAUCUCUCUCUCUCUCCCUUCAUCUCUGUGUCUGUCUAUGAUAUUCAGAUAAAUAAAAAAUAAUAAACAAAAAUUUGAAGUCA